GCCUGGGUAGCUCAGUUGGUUAGAGCGUGGUGCUGAUAACCCCAAGAUUGUAGGUUCAAUCCCCAUAUGGGACA
rnacentral:tRNA from 1 species